rnacentral:rRNA from 1 species
CACCGGCGGCCCGAGUGGUGAUCGUGAUUAUUGGGUCUAAAGGGUCCGUAGCCGGUUUGGUCAGUCCUCCGGGAAAUCUGAUAGCUCAACUAUUAGGCUUUCGGGGGAUACUGCCAGACUUGGAACCGGGAGAGGUAAGAGGUACUACAGGGGUAGGAGUGAAAUCUUGUAAUCCCUGUGGGACCACCUGUGGCGAAGGCGUCUUACCAGAACGGGUUUGACGGUGAGGGACGAAAGCUGGGGGCACGAACCGGAUUAGAUACCCGGGUAGUCCCAGCCGUAAACGAUGCUCGCUAGGUGUCAGGCAUGGCGCGACCGUGUCUGGUGCCGCAGGGAAGCCGUGAAGCGAGCCACCUGGGAAGUACGGCCGCAAGGCUGAAACUUAAAGGAAUUGGCGGGGGAGCACAACAACGGGUGAAGCCUGCGGUUU